rnacentral:rRNA from 1 species
AUUGAACGCUGGCGGCAGGCUUAACACAUGCAAGUCGAGCGGAGUGAUGGUGCUUGCACUAUCACUUAGCGGCGGACGGGUGAGUAAUGCUUAGGAAUCUGCCUAUUAGUGGGGGACAACAUCUCGAAAGGGAUGCUAAUACCGCAUACGUCCUACGGGAGAAAGCAGGGGAUCACUUGUGACCUUGCGCUAAUAGAUGAGCCUAAGUCGGAUUAGCUAGUUGGUGGGGUAAAGGCCUACCAAGGCGACGAUCUGUAGCGGGUCUGAGAGGAUGAUCCGCCACACUGGGACUGAGACACGGCCCAGACUCCUACGGGAGGCAGCAGUGGGGAAUAUUGGACAAUGGGGGGAACCCUGAUCCAGCCAUGCCGCGUGUGUGAAGAAGGCCUUAUGGUCGUAAAGCACUUUAAGCGAGGAGGAGGCUCUUUUGGUUAAUACCCAAGAUGAGUGGACGUUACUCGCAGAAUAAGCACCGGCUAACUCUGCGCCAGCAGCCGCCGUAA